rnacentral:lncRNA from 1 species
GGCGAAGGGACCCGCCGGGCCCGGCCGGGCCCCCGAGGAGCCUCUCCCUCUCCGCGGCCCCGGAGUUCCUUCUCCCAAGCCCUUGGGGUCCGCAGACCGGGAGUAACCCCCGGGAGGCGGGAGGGGCGAUGAGUCCGGGAAGAGCCGCGCGGGGGCGGGCCGGGAGGGCAGCUUCUAGCAGGUAAAGCUCUUGGCGGAGGGCAGCUAGAGGCCCAGGAUAGAGAUUCCUUCCAGGAAGACUCUUCUAACAGAGAAUGGCUUUGCCUUUAACCAAUGAGUUGAAUUUUAAAUAAAAAGAACCAAGCAUAGGUCCUUGACACUUAUGAAAGAUGUGUGAGCUUCUCUUUAUUCAUGUUAUUCAUC